ensembl:lncRNA
AAAAAGAUGGAGCAGGGAGAGGGAGAGUGAUAGGACAGACUGAAUUGCUUGUUAAUGAUAGAGGGAGAGGGUAUUCUGCAGCAGGGAGAGGGAGAGUGAUAGGACAGACUGAAUUGCUUGUUAAUGAUAGAGGGAGAGGGUAUUCUGCAGCAGGUCACCUGUAAGACAGAAAGAAAGUGGAAUUAGACACACUUCCAAUAAACCUGGCUUUACUGUAUUUUUCAGACUAUAAGGCACAUUUAAAAGCCUUUAAUUUUCUCAAAAAUAGACAGUGCACCUUAUGUAUGGUUGUGUUUACUGAUUUCAAACCAAUUCUAUGUGGUACACGGCACUCACGGCAUCUGUCAAAUGUUUU